UUUCCGUAGGUGAACCUGCGGAUGGAUCAUUAUUGUAUAACCGAGGUGCGAGGGCUGUCGCUGACCCGAAAGGUCGUGCACGCCCGAGUGCCCUCACACACAUCCAUCUCACCCCUAUGUGCACCACCGCGUGGGUCCCCCUUUGGCUUGUUCGGAGGGGGGCUUACGUUUUCACACAAACUUUGUAUGCAGUGUAGAAUGUAUUUUUUGUUUUUGCGAUCACGCAAUCAAUACAACUUUCAACAAUGGAUCUCUUGGCUCUC
rnacentral:misc_RNA from 1 species